AACCACUAAUCAAAUUUCCAUGACGGUGUCAUUAGAUUUUAGAUAUCACAGGUUAGCCACAAUGGCUCAUCGAACUGGCCCGUGAGCUUAUGCCCAACAUCCUCAUCCAGGCACAGACGGCCCAAGUCCAGAUUGUUCCCAGAGUGCCAUGCCGGUGUCCCAUUCUCGUAUCCAUUCCAUGUCAGCCUCCUCAAUCCCCUCC
rnacentral:misc_RNA from 1 species